GGCGAUCAGAUACCGCCCUAGUUCUGACCGUAAACGAUGCCAACUAGCGAUCCGCCGGCGGAUUCAUUCGCCCUGGUGGGGAGCUUCCCGGAAACGAAAGUCUUCCGGUUCCGGGGGAAGUAUGGUUGCAAAGCUGAAACUUAAAGGAAUUGACGGAAGGGCACCACCAGGAGUGGAGCCUGCGGCUUAAUUUGACUCAACACGGGGAAACUCACCCGGCCCGGACACCGUAAGGAUUGACAGAUUGAUAGCUUUUUCAUGAUUCGGUGGAUGGUGGUGCAUGGCCGUUCUUAGUUCGUGGAGCGAUUUGUCUGGUUUAUUCCGAUAACGAGCGAGACUCUGGCCUACUAAAUAGUUGGCACAUUGCCACUGUGUGCCCAACUUCUUAGAGGGAUUUUCGGUGUUCAGCCGCACGAAAUUGAGCAAUAACAGGUCUGUGAUGCCCUUAGAUUCCGGGGCUGCACSCGCGCUACACUGGCAAAAUCAGCGUGCUUGUCCUCCCCCKAAAGGGGUGGUAAACCGAUGAAAAUUUGCCGUGAUUGGGAUCGGACAUUGCAAUUAUUGUCCGUGAACGAG
rnacentral:rRNA from 1 species